UGGGGGAUAUUGCACAAUGGGCGAAAGCCUGAUGCAGCGACGCCGCGUGGGGGAUGAAGGCCUUCGGGUUGUAAACUUCUUUUGCUCUGAACAAGGCGCACCAUGGGGUGUGUUGAGUGUAGGGGUUGAUUAGCGCCGGCUAACUACGUGCCAGCAGCCGCGGUAAUACGUAGGGCGCGAGCGUUGUCCGGAAUUAUUGGGCGUAAAGGGCUUGUAGGUGGCUGGUUGCGUCUGUCGUGAAAGCUCAUGGCUUAACUGUGGGUUUGCGGUGGGUACGGGCUGGCUUGAGUGCAGUAGGGGAGGCUGGAUUUCCUGGUGUAGCGGUGGAAUGCGCAGAUAUCAGGAGGAAGACCGGUGGCGAAGGCGGGUCUCUGGGCUGUUACUGACACUGAGGAGCGAAAGCAUGGGGAGCGAACAGG
rnacentral:rRNA from 1 species